rnacentral:rRNA from 1 species
UGAGCUGGGGCCGGCCGCAGAGACCAGCGAGAAGCGACUGUUUACUAAAAACACAGGUCCGUGCGAAGCCGUAAGGCGAUGUAUACGGACUGACGCCUGCCCGGUGCUGGAACGUUAAGGGGACCGGUUAGCUCUGAUUCGUCGGGGCGAAGCUGAGAACUUAAGCGCCAGUAAACGGCGGUGGUAACUAUAACCAUCCUAAGGUAGCGAAAUUCCUUGUCGGGUAAGUUCCGACCUGCACGAAUGGCGUAACGACUUCUCGACUGUCUCAACCAUAGGCCCGGUGAAAUUGCAUUACGAGUAAAGAUGCUCGUUUCGCGCAGCAGGACGGAAAGACCCCGGGACCUUUACUAUAGCUUGAUAUUGGUGUUCGGUUCGGCUUGUGUAGGAUAGGUGGGAGACUUUGAAGCCUUGACGCCAGUCUUGGUGGAGUCGUCGUUGAAAUACCACUCUGGUCGUGCUGGAUGUCUAACCUGGGUCCGUGAUCCGGAUCAGGGACAGUGUCUGGUGGGUAGUUUAACUGGGGCGGUUGCCUCCUAAAGAGUAACGGAGGCGCCCAAAGGUUCCCUCAGCCUGGUUGGCAAUCAGGUGUUGAGUGUAAGUGCACAAGGGAGCUUGACUGUGAGACCGACGGGUCGAGCAGGUGCGAAAGCAGGGACUAGUGAUCCGGCGGUGGCUUGUGGAAGCGCCGUCGCUCAACGGAUAAAAGGUACCCCGGGGAUAACAGGCUGAUCUUCCCCAAGAGUCCAUAUCGACGGGAUGGUUUGGCACCUCGAUGUCGGCUCGUCGCAUCCUGGGGCUGGAGUAGGUCCCAAGGGUUGGGCUGUUCGCCCAUUAAAGCGGUACGCGAGCUGGGUUUAGAACGUCGUGAGACAGUUCGGUCCCUAUCCGCUGUGCGCGUAGGAAUAUUGAGAAGGGCUGUCCCUAGUACGAGAGGACCGGGACGGACGAACCUCUGGUGUGCCAGUUGUCCUGCCAAGGGCAUGGCUGGUUGGCUACGUUCGGGAGGGAUAACCGCUGAAAGCAUCUAAGCGGGAAGCCUGCUUCGAGAUGAGUAUUCCCACCUCCUUGAGAGGGUAAGGCUCCCAGUAGACGACUGGGUUGAUAGGCCGGAUGUGGAAGCCUCGUAAGGGGUGGAGCUGACCGGUACUAAUAGGCCGAGGGCUUGUCCUC